rnacentral:rRNA from 1 species
GACGUAGGGGGCGAGCGUUAUCCGGAUUGAUUGGGUGUAAAGGGUGAGUAGGCGGUCACACCAAGUCACAUGUUAAAAGCUACAGCUCAACUGUGGUAAGGCAUGAGAAACUGGGUGACUAGAGUGCAGGAGAGGUAAGCGGAAUUCCUAGUGUAGCGGUGAAAUGCGUAGAUAUUAGGAAGAACACCAGUGGCGAAGGCGGCUUACUGGACUGUAACAGACGCUGAGGCACGAAAGCGUGGGGAGCAAA